GAUGAACGCUGGCGGCGUGCCUAAUACAUGCAAGUCGAGCGAACAGACGAGGAGCUUGCUCCUCUGACGUUAGCGGCGGACGGGUGAGUAACACGUGGAUAACCUACCUAUAAGACUGGGAUAACUUCGGGAAACCGGAGCUAAACCGGAUAAUAUAUUGAACCGCAUGGUUCAAUAGUGAAAGACGGUUUUGCUGUCACUUAUAGAUGGAUCCGCGCCGCAUUAGCUAGUUGGUAAGGUAACGGCUUACCAAGGCAACGAUGCGUAGCCGACCUGAGAGGGUGAUCGGCCACACUGGAACUGAGACACGGUCCAGACUCCUACGGGAGGCAGCAGUAGGGAAUCUUCCGCAAUGGGCGAAAGCUUGACGGAGCAACGCCGCGUGAGUGAUGAAGGUCUUCGGAUCGUAAAACUCUGUUAUUAGGGAAGAACAAAUGUGUAAGUAACUAUGCACGUCUUGACGGUACCUAAUCAGAAAGCCACGGCUAACUACGUG
rnacentral:rRNA from 1 species